AUACGUGGGUGACAAGCGUUAUCCGGAUUUACUGGGCGUAAAGGGCGUGUAGGCGGUCUUGCAAGUCAGAAGUGAAAUUCCUGAGCUCAACUCGGGCGCUGCUUCUGAAACUGCAGGACUUGAGUGCUGGAGGGGAUAGCGGAAUUCCUAGUGGAGCGGUAAAAUGCGCAGAUAUUAGGAAGAACACCGGUGGCGAAGGCGGCUAUCUGGACAUUAACUGACGCUGAGGCGCGAAAGCGUGGGGAGCAAACAGGAUUAGAUACCCUGAUAGUCCACGCCGUAAACGAUGAAUACUAGGUGUAGGGGGUAUCGACUCCCUCUGUGCCGCAGUUAACACAAUAAGUAUUCCGCCUGGGGAGUACGGCCGCAAGGUUGAAACUCAAAUGAAUUGACGGGG
rnacentral:rRNA from 1 species